UUUCGAAUCAUUCACAAUGGGCGCAAGCCUGAUGGUGCAACGCCGCGUGGGGGAUGAAGGCCUUCGGGUUGUAAACCCCUGUCAUUAAGGAACAAAAACCUGGUUCAUAGCCAGGCUUGAGUUAACUUAAAGAGGAAGCAGUGGCUAACUCUGUGCCAGCAGCCGCGGUAAUACAGAGACUGCGAGCGUUACUCGGAUUCACUGGGCGUAAAGGGAGCGCAGGCGGACAGAUGUGUCAGGUGUGAAAUUCCGGAGCUUAACUCCGGAGCUGCGCUUGAAACUAUCUGUCUAGAGUAUCGGAGAGGUAAGCGGAAUUCCAGGUGUAGCGGUGAAAUGCGUAGAUAUCUGGAGGAACACCAAAGGCGAAGGCAGCUUACUGGACGAUUACUGACGCUCAGGCUCGAAGGCGUGGGGAGCAAAAGGGAUUAGAUACCCUGUAGUCCACGCAGUAAACGAUGCAGACUAAGUCUUGGGACAUUC
rnacentral:rRNA from 1 species